UCCCAAACCCAUUUUCAAUGGGUUCAGGGUAUAAUAAAAAUGCCGCGUCCUAGAAGAUCUAAUCUUUCCCAGCGAACCCGUAAUGCAAUUUGGCGAACAACGAGAAGUCACCCGAAAAGAGCUCCGCGUUAGUAUGGAGCAAAGAAGGGCCUUAAUUCGUGCUUCUCGAACGUGAUUAAUAAAUAUGCGUGUUUUUUUUAGUACGUAUAAAAGCAGACAACAAUGCCACGGAAACGCAAGGGGGCUAAAUUGAGUCGUCGAACACUGAAAUCUAGAGGCAUGCAGGAUAGAAGAGCACAAAGAUCAGAUCAAGAGAGGCAACAAAGCAAUGCAGAUGUCCGUGUAAGCAUGGCGCAGUUACAAUUGGAAGAGGCACGAGAUGAGCGAAGCCAGCAAAGACAAUUAGAACGAAGAGAAGCGCGCAGAUUCGUAGUCAACAGCCGUAGAGGAAUUGACCGACAACGUCAACAAGUAAAUCGAGCACUUACAGCACAUUCCAAAGUGGUCAUUGGUACAUUGGACAAAGAAUACCCGCACUGCCAUGCCCUUAAAUUUAAAAAUGAGCCGAUCGGGGUGGUGCUCCUCAGGAAAAGAAAAACUCCCAGAAAUUGAAACAGCGCCGGAACCAUUGCACGGCUUCCUUAUCCAGAUUCUUUGCUGUUCUUGCAGUCAAUGCGAAAAUUCAAUUCUUGUUUUCAAAUGGCAUCGUUUGGAGCAGUUCAAUUUCACAGUCAAAGUCAAAGGCCAAGUUUACCACAAAGUCAGUUAACAAUUGGAGCCAAAUGAACCUUAUAAAUUU